rnacentral:rRNA from 1 species
GCAGCAGGCGCGCAAAUUACCCACUCCCGGCACGGGAGGUAGUGACGAAAAAUAACGAUACGGGACUCAUCCGAGGCCCCGUAAUCGGAAUGAGCACACUUUAAACCCUUUAACGAGUAUCCAUUGGAGGGCAAGUCUGGUGCCAGCAGCCGCGGUAAUUCCAGCUCCAAUAGCGUAUAUUAAAGUUGUUGCGGUUAAAAAGCUCGUAGUUGGAUGUGUGUCCCACGCUGUCGGUUCACCGUUCGUCGGUGUUUAACUGGCAUGCCCGUGUGGACGUCCUGCCGGUGGAUGCGGUCGGCCGUGGGCUUCGGUCUGCGCGUCGGCGGUCCGAUGCAAUCCUACCGCGGUGCUCUUCACCGAGUGUCGAGGUGGGCCGGCACGUUUACUUUGAACAAAUUAGAGUGCUUAAAGCAGGCAGUGGUUCGCCUGAAUAUUGUGUGCAUGGAAUAAUGGAAUAGGACCUCGGUUCUAUUUUGUUGGUUUUCGGAACUUGAGGUAAUGAUUAAUAGGGACAAAUGGGGGCAUUCGUAUUGCGACGUUAGAGGUGAAAUUCUUGGAUCGUCGCAAGACGAACCUAAGCGAAAGCAUUUGCCAUAAGUGUUUUCAUUAAUCAAGAACGAAAGUUAGAGGUUCGAAGGCGAUCAGAUACCGCCCUAGUUCUAACCAUAAACGAUGCCAGCUAGCGAUCCGCCGAAGUUCCUCCGAUGACUCGGCGGGCAGCUUCCGGGAAACCAAAGCUUUUGGGUUCCGGGGGAAGUAUGGUUGCAAAGCUGAAACUUAAAGGAAUUGACGGAAGGGCACCACCAGGAGUGGAGCCUGCGGCUUAAUUUGACUCAACACGGGAAACCUCACCAGGCCCGGACACCGGAAGGAUUGACAGAUUGAGAGCUCUUUCUUGAUUCGGUGGNANGGUGGUGCAUGGCCGUUCUUAGUUGGUGGA